GGUAGUUGGUGGGUAAUCGCCGCUUUGGCGGAGGAAAGUCCGAACAGCUCAGAGCAAAGACAGUCACUAACUGUGACCAGGAGCAAUCCUAGGGAAAGUGCCACAGAGACAAUACCGCCCAUUGCGGGUAAGGGUGAAAAGAGUGAGGUAAGAGCUCACAGUAGAUUAUGGCGACAUAAUCUAGGGGUAAACCCUGUCUGCUGCAAGUCUAAUGGACCCAGGCUGCUCGCCGUCUAGGUCAAGUAAUUGGCCUAAGGGUAUGACGCUAAGAUAAAUGAUUAUCCAGACACUAAAUGUGUUGGACAGAAUUCGGCUUAUAGCCAGCUACCUCCC
rnacentral:RNase_P_RNA from 1 species